UUAUAUAGAUUAUGCUUUGGCACUAGAAGUUGAUUAUAUAUAUAUAAUUUUUAUAUAUAUAAUCAACUUCUAGUGCCAAAGCAUAAUCUAGGUUU
rnacentral:miRNA from 1 species